rnacentral:tRNA from 1 species
ACUUUCUUAGUAUAACAAAUAUAUUUGACUUCCAAUCAAAAGAUCUUUCAAACUAAGAGAAAGUA